rnacentral:rRNA from 1 species
GACACGACCGUACCGCAAACCGACACUGGUGCGCGAGAUGAGUAUUCUAAGGCGCUUGAGAGAACUCAGGAGAAGGAACUCGGCAAAUUGACACCGUAACUUCGGAAGAAGGUGUGCCUUUAGUAGGUGAACCAUUUACUUGGGGAGCCCAAUGAGGCUGCAAAAAAUCGGUGGCUGCAACUGUUUAUUAAAAACACAGCACUCUGCUAAGACGAAAGUCGACGUAUAGGGUGUGACGCCUGCCCGGUGCUGGAAGAUUAAGUGAUGGGGUGCAAGCUCUUGAUUGAAGUCCCAGUAAACGGCGGCCGUAACGAUAACGGUCCUAAGGUAGCGAAAUUCCUUGUCGGGUAAGUUCCGACCUGCACGAAUGGCGUAAUGAUGGCCACACUGUCUCCUCCUGAGACUCAGCGAAGUUGAAAUGUUUGUGAUGAUGCAAUCUCCCCGCGGAAAGACGGAAAGACCCCAUGAACCUUUACUGUAGCUUUGUAUUGGACUUUGAACAGAUCUGUGUAGGAUAGGUGGGAGGCUUUGAAGUGUGGUCGCUAGAUCGCAUGGAGCCAACGUUGAAAUACCACCCUGGUGUGUUUGAGGUUCUAACCUAGGUCCAUUAUCUGGAUCGGGGACAGUGCAUGGUAGGCAGUUUGACUGGGGCGGUCUCCUCCCAAAGUGUAACGGAGGAGUUCGAAGGUACGCUAGGUACGGUCGGACAUCGUGCUAAUAGUGCAAUGGCAUAAGCGUGCUUAACUGCGAGACUGACAAGUCGAGCAGAUGCGAAAGCAGGACACAGUGAUCCGGUGGUUCUGUAUGGAAGGGCCAUCGCUCGACGGAUAAAAGGUACUCUGGGGAUAACAGGCUGAUACCGCCCAAGAGUUCAUAUCGACGGCGGUGUUUGGCACCUCGAUGUCGGCUCAUCUCAUCCUGGGGCUGUAGCCGGUCCCAAGGGUAUGGCUGUUCGCCAUUUAAAGAGGUACGUGAGCUGGGUUUAAAACGUCGUGAGACAGUUUGGUCCCUAUCUUCCGUGGGCGCUGCAGAUUUGAGGAAGCCUGCUCCUAGUACGAGAGGACCGGAGUGGACGAACCUCUGGUGUAUCGGUUGUCACGCCAGUGGCAUUGCCGAGUAGCUAAGUUCGGAAGAGAUAACCGCUGAAAGCAUCUAAGCGGGAAACUCGUUUCAAGAUUAGAUCUGCCGGGGCCUUGAGCCCCCUAAAGAGUCGUUCAAGACCAGGACGUUGAUAGGUCAGGUGUGGAAGCCAAAAA